GACGAACGCUGGCGGCGUGCCUAACACAUGCAAGUCGAACGGGGUAAUGACUUCGGUUAUUACUUAGUGGCGAACGGGUGAGUAACGCGUGAGCAACCUGCCUUUGCAAUCGGGAUAACAGCCGGAAACAGCUGCUAAUACCGAAUGAUGCACAUUGGUCGCAUGACCGAUGUGCCAAAGAUCCGUUGUGCAAAGAUGGGCUCGCGUCUGAUUAGAUAGUUGGUGAGGUAACGGCUCACCAAGUCAACGAUCAGUAGCCGGACUGAGAGGUUGAACGGCCACAUUGGAACUGAGAUACGGUCCAGACUCCUACGGGAGGCAGCAGUGGGGAAUAUUGGGCAAUGGGCGAAAGCCUGACCCAGCGACGCCGCGUGAGGGGAAGAAAGGUCUUCGGAUCGUAAACUCCUGUCCUCAGGGAAGAGCAGAAGACGGUACCUGAGGAGGAAGCCCCCGGCUAACUACGUG
rnacentral:rRNA from 1 species